GACGAACGCUGGCGGCGUGCUUAACACAUGCAAGUCGAGCGGUAAGGCCCUUUCGGGGGUACACGAGCGGCGAACGGGUGAGUAACACGUGGGUGACCUGCCCUCAGCUCUGGGAUAAGCCCGGGAAACUGGGUCUAAUACCGGAUAUGACUCCAUGACGCAUGUUGUGGGGUGGAAAGCCUUGUGCGGCUGAGGAUGGGCCCGCGGCCUAUCAGCUUGUUGGUGGGGUGAUGGCCUACCAAGGCGACGACGGGUAGCCGGCCUGAGAGGGCGACCGGCCACACUGGGGACUGAGACACGGCCCAGACUCCUACGGGAGGCAGCAGUGGGGAAUCUUGCGCAAUGGGCGAAAGCCUGACGCAGCGACGCCGCGUGAGGGAUGACGG
rnacentral:rRNA from 1 species